UACGUAGGUGGCAAGCGUUGUCCGGAUUUACUGGGCGUAAAGAGCGCGCAGGCGGUCAACUAAGUCGAGUGUGAAAGCCCCCGGCUCAACUGGGGAGGGUCACUCGAUACUGCUUGACUCGAAGGCGGGAGAGGGAAGUGGAAUUCCCGGUGUAGUGGUGAAAUGCGUAGAUAUCGGGAGGAACACCAGUGGCGAAGGCGACUUCCUGGCCCGUUCUUGACGCUGAGGCGCGAAAGCUAGGGGAGCAAACGGGAUUAG
rnacentral:rRNA from 1 species